UACGAAGGGGGCUAGCGUUGUUCGGAUUUACUGGGCGUAAAGCGCGUGUAGGCGGGUCGUUAAGUUGGGGGUGAAAUCCCGAGGCUCAACCUCGGAACUGCCUUCAAAACUGGCGACCUGGACCUAAGUAGAGGCAAGUGGAAUUGCGAGUGUAGAGGUGAAAUUCGUAGAUAUUCGCAGGAACACCAGUGGCGAAGGCGACUUGCUGGACUUAUGGUGACGCUGAGACGCGAAAGCGUGGGGAGCGAACAGG
rnacentral:rRNA from 1 species